UAUGGCACCUCAUCAGCCCUGCUUGAAUGAAUUUCAUCCUCUUGUGGAUGAUAUUUUUUAGUGGUGGCCCCACUCUUCUCUCUGGCUGCCUCAGCCUUUUAAGCCCUGGGCUGAGGCUGAGCGACCCCCACUAAAAGGAGACAUGUUGGGUGUGUCCAUUGGUUGAGCUAACCAGUGUGGCGUAAACCCAUCCAGCUGCGCUUUAUUCCAAUAGCAGCUCGCUUAAGGGCUAAUACUAGACGAAAUAGAACGUUGGUUACGUAUUGUAACCCCAGAUUCUAUGAGUCUAGUCGCAGCCCUUAAGCCACUUGGCCACACUGGUUCUGUUAGGACUAAGAGCCAUCGGAGGCGAACAGUGGAGUCGCUCCACUUAUAUAACCCACAAGGGGUGCCCACGUGGUGGGCGUACAUUUAAGCUCUUCAUGAUUGGCUGAUGCUGAGAUCACCCUUCCAAUAGCAGCUCGCUUAAGGGCUGCGACUAGACUCAUAGAAUCUGGGGUUACAAUACGUAACCAACGCUUUUAAGCUUAAUAUAUUACCUUUACUUAUGACCAAUAAGAUGUGAUAUUCUAUAUAAAUAUAGGAUAUCAACCUUAUUGGUCUUUGAAUGUUUAAUCAGAAGAUUCUAGGAUUCUUUGCUUUUUCAGUGAUCAUAACACACUUUGUAUUAAUUUAGACAAAGUCAAGUUUAUAAAAAGUAAGAAAUUUAUUUUCUAAACAAAUUAAAAACAAGACAAGUUAUAAAUAAGACGAAUGUGACAGAUGGAUAUAAGUGGAUGGGAUGUGAUGUUUGAUGAUGGAAUGGUGUGUGAUGUUUAUCAGAACCUUGUAUCUAGAAGAAACUAUGUUCUGGGUGUGAAAAGAAUUUGGUCUGCAUUAAACUAGGAAGUUGGUCCUUAACAAAAUGGCGUCUGACGCAAUCUAUGUGUUCUACGUACCCCUGAGGAGACUCCCUUUUGGAUCCGAGAUGUCGGGGGGUCGGGUGAGACCAAGGUACCGAAGUUCAUAGAAAAGACCGCAGUGCGACCAGGUCGGUCCAGAGUCGUCUCCCGGAUCACAACAGCCUUUAUAAAAGAAGAAGAAAUUGCCAGGUUCUCCUCCUCUCUGGAUUAUUCCCUCACCACGCCCAAUAGGACUCUGGUCUGCUCACACGCCACAUCAUCCAUUCACCUCUGACCGACCCGCUCUCCAACGACUACCCGCUCCAGCUCUGGAACCGCUCACCUGGAUACCCCCGGCUCGUUACCCAUCCCCUCACUCGCUGAACUCAUUUUACCCCAAUAAGUCCCCUCACUCAUUAUCUGUUGGACUUAAAGUUCUCAGGACUCACCUCUAAUCUGCUCUCCCCUCCAGACGCUGCGUUUCCCGUUUCCCCUGUCCACUGGAAUUCCCAGUGUGCCCUCAGUUACCAUUAUCCACAAAUAAAAAUAUUAUUUUUCAUUA